rnacentral:lncRNA from 1 species
AACAAAAAGUUCAAAUAAAUUAAUAUAAAAGUAUCUUGGGCUGUGAUGAUGUCCUUUCAGCAUUUUGGUAAUUAAAUCUAAUUGGAAAGUAAAUCAAACCCCAAAGAGUAUAAGAAUGUUACAGUUUAGAUACUAAAAGAAAUACUGAACAUCUUAAUUUUUCAAUAUGGUUAUUGUAAUAGUAUCCCAGUUGUAUCCCAGAAAUAUUGUGAGUUCUCUGAAAGAAUAUAAGUUUGUGCAAAAGAAAAAACACAGAAUUCAAGAGUCACAUUAUUGUGUAGUGUGCCCUACUCAUUUUCAUAAUGUAGUAUAUAGGAAAACAAAAAAUACAUAAUGAACAUAUUUAGUUAGCAUUAAGAGGAAAAAAUAAUGUAAGGAAAAUUACAAGUUCAGAGUAUCUCUUUCAAUUUUUAAAGCCUUAAAUAAGAAAGUUUUAACAAGAUAGCAAACUUAUACAGUACUAUUAUAGAAAAUAAUGGUAUAUACACAGAUAAUACAUCAACAAACUGUAAUUAGGAAAGCAGACAUAUCAACCAAUAUAUCUUAAUACCUUAGCCUAUUAUUUUCUAUAUUAUUAUUUUACAUCAAAGUUUAACUGUGGAUUACUUUUUAU